rnacentral:rRNA from 1 species
ACGCUCGACACCUACGGGAAGCAGCAGUGGGGAAUAUUGCACAAUGGGGGAAACCCUGAUGCAGCGACGCCGCGUGAGCGAAGAAGUAUUUCGGUAUGUAAAGCUCUAUCAGCAGGGAAGAAACUGACGGUACCUGACUAAGAAGCACCGGCUAAAUACGCGCCAGCAGCCGCGGUAAUCUGAGCGGGCUGGCAAGGC